rnacentral:rRNA from 1 species
UGGGGAAUUUUGGACAAUGGGCGAAAGCCUGAUCCAGCAAUGCCGCGUGUGUGAAGAAGGCCUUCGGGUUGUAAAGCACUUUUGUCCGGAAAGAAAUCCUUGGCUCUAAUACAGUCGGGGGAUGACGGUACCGGAAGAAUAAGCACCGGCUAACUACGUGCCAGCAGCCGCGGUAAUACGUAGGGUGCAAGCGUUAAUCGGAAUUACUGGGCGUAAAGCGUGCGCAGGCGGUUUGCUAAGACCGAUGUGAAAUCCCCGGGCUCAACCUGGGAACUGCAUUGGUGACUGGCAGGCUAGAGUAUGGCAGAGGGGGGUAGAAUUCCGCGUGUAGCAGUGAAAUGCGUAGAGAUGUGGAGGAAUACCGAUGGCGAAGGCAGCCCCCCUGGGCCAAAUACUGACGCUCAUGCACGAAAAGCGUGGGGGAGCAAAACAGGAUUAGAUACCCUGGUAGUCCGCGCCCUAAACGAUGUCAACUAGUUGUUGGGGAUUCAUUUCCUAGUAACGUAGCUAACGCGUGAAGUUGACCGCCUGGGGAGUACGGUCGCAAGAUUAAAACUUAAUGAAUUGACGGGGUCAUAGCUGUUUCCU